rnacentral:rRNA from 1 species
CGUGUAGGCGGCCCGGUAAGUCCGCUGUGAAAGUCGGGGGCUCAACCCUCGAAUGCCGGUGGAUACUGUCGGGCUCGAGUACGGAAGAGGCGAGUGGAAUUCCUGGUGUAGCGGUGAAAUGCGCAGAUAUCAGGAGGAACACCAAUUGCGAAGGCAGCUCGCUGGGACGUUACUGACGCUGAGACGCGAAAGCGUGGGAGCAAACA